rnacentral:rRNA from 1 species
UGGUAAUGCCGGAUGCUCCAUCACACUGCAUGGUGUGUUGGGAAAGCCUUUGCGGCAUGGGAUGGGGUCGCGUCCUAUCAGCUUGAUGGCGGGGUAACGGCCCACCAUGGCUUCGACGGGUAGCCGGCCUGAGAGGGCGACCGGCCACAUUGGGACUGAGAUACGGCCCAGACUCCUACGGGAGGCAGCAGUGGGGAAUAUUGCACAAUGGGCGCAAGCCUGAUGCAGCGACGCCGCGUGAGGGAUGGAGGCCUUCGGGUUGUAAACCUCUUUUGUUAGGGAGCAAGGCAUUUUGUGUUGAGUGUACCUUUCGAAUAAGCACCGGCUAACUACGUGCCAGCAGCCGCGGUAAUACGUAGGGUGCAAGCGUUAUCCGGAAUUAUUGGGCGUAAAGGGCUCGUAGGCGGUUCGUCGCGUCCGGUGUGAAAGUCCAUCGCUUAACGGUGGAUCCGCGCCGGGUACGGGCGGGCUUGAGUGCGGUAGGGGAGACUGGAAUUCCCGGUGUAACGGUGGAAUGUGUAGAUAUCGGAAAAAAAACACCA